rnacentral:lncRNA from 1 species
CUAUAAGCAUCGAAAAGAAAAUUGCUGGUGAUCUAGUAGAGUGGAAUUAUAGAAUCCGUUCACUCCAGCCUGAUCUGUAAAUCUUCUUACAAGUUUUCUCUAAAACCCAGAAAGACACGUUCUGGUGUCUUUAAUAUGUGUGUGUGUGUGUGUGUGUGUGUGUGUAGAAAUAUAUAUAUAUAAGAUUUUUUUUCUCUUCAGAUAGGAACUGUCAUGGCAAAGCUUUUUCCUAGACGCUACUGUUAUAUUUUGAAGAUUAUGUUGUGGCUCCAAUCGCAAUAAAAAUACCUUCCACAUCUGUAAUACCUGUGCUGUCAUGCCGUUGCCAAAGUAAAGAACUAUCAAGACGAUACAUCAACAUGGAAGGAUUUUCCAGCAAUUCCUAUAAUAGUAGAAGCUGUAGGAAGGUUACUUAUCACCUCAUGAAUGAAGACUUGGAAGCAGUUUUGCUCUGGUUCUUGUUGCCCUCCCUGGCAUCAGCAGUUAGAGGGCAACGUGAAGAAAUCUGAGAUGGAAACACACAGCCAUUCAAGGGCUUCUUGAGAUGCUUUUAGGCUGGCCUGAAGCAUUUUUAUUUGAGCUAAUAUGUCCUAUGCUCACAAUACAGAAUAUGAUACUCUGUGUUGACGCUGUUAGCAUGGCACACUAAGCCAUUAAAAUGUUGCCAUUAAAAUAAAAAUUAAGCCUGAACUAUAUAACUGGUUGGUCUUGAACUGCUCUAAGGAGUAAAGACAAACACAAAUAAUUCACUUCCCUUUAGAGCAUCAUACUUUAAAAAGGGCACAGUAUUCUUUAAAUUAUUUAAUUCAAAAUGAUAAUGUAGGGGCUGGCCUGGUGGUGUAGUGGUUAAGUUCAUGUGCUCUGCUUCAGCAGCCCGGGGUUUGAAGGUUUGGAUCCUGGGUGCGGGCCUAGCACCACUCAUCAAGCCACACGGUGGUGGCAUCCCACAUAAAAUAGAGGAAGAUCAGCAACAGAUGUUAGCUCAGGGCCACUCUUCCUCACAACAAAACUAUAUAUAUAUAUAUAUAUACACACACACACACAUAUAUAAAAACGAUAUAUAUAUGUAUCUAUAUAUGUAAAUAAUGUAACAUUCUCAUAAAAAAAAAUCAAAUUGGUAUAAAGUCAAAAGUUAAAGUAGCCCCUUCCCCAUUACUGUUACUCUGAAUUUUAAUAGGUAUUUCCAAAAUGCCUUCAGAAAGAUUUGUACUAAUUUGCAUUCCAGUAUUCUUUAAACAUAGUUAUAAACAAAGGUACUUAAUAAUUUAUUUGCUCAGAGCCUUUCCAUAUGUAUUAGUUAUUAAUCUAAUUUAUUUUUACAGGCUUCCUAUGAGAUCAAGAUAUUAAUCUCC